CAAUUCUCCUAAACACUCUUCUGCAGAACAACAACAUUUUACAAUGGCUCUAAAAAUGUCAAGUUAUUGAGGCUGUUGCUCCACAAUAAAUGUUAUGUUGUGGUACUGUAUUUAAGAUUGUUAUGUAGUCACAGAUGGACAUUUGAGUUCAUUUUGGUAAGGUGAUCGGGUAAGCAGAUUUAUUUUAAUACUGGUUGGAUGAAUUAUUGUAAUACUGGUUGGUUGAAUUAUGUUAUUACUGGUUGGUUGAAGUGAAACUCUGCUGACGUGUUUCAGUAGGCAGAAUUAUGUUAGUACUGGCUGGUUGAAGUGAAACUGCUGACGUGUUUCUGUAGGCGCCUGAAGGCCCUGCCGGCUGGAGUAAUCCCCAGACCCAGACCAGGUGGCUCCUGCUCCAUGUCCUUUCCCUCAACUGCCUCAAAAUCUGACAAUGCUGCCUGUGCACAUUUCGUGUGGCUUUGGAGCCCAGGAUGCAGGACCAAAAAGUGGCAGAGCACUGGAGCAUAGUAACAACACACACACACACACACACACACAUGCACACACUUACCAACAAAGAAACCCAUGAUGCAACAUCUUCAUAGACCAUAAAAAAGGAAUGGAUUACUGACAUCGCUGGUCUGAAAUUAUAGUCACUGCCUUAAUAUUAAUACAUGAUGUGUUUUCACAAUAUCUAUAUACUAACAUGCCUUCAUAGAUUUUUUAUGGUUGCAUUUCACUUCAUGAUGAUAUUAUCAUACAUAUUAAUAAUGUAAUAAAAUAAAAUCUCAGCUGCUUAAGCUUCUCAUAAAACUGUCAAGCUAUGAAAUGGAAAGGUAUAUGCUGCCCCCUGGUGUUCUAUGCAGAUAUUUCUUUGUUUUGCAUGCAGUAAACUACUAUGUGAAGAUUUCCUCUGCGAUGAAAUAGGAGGGUUAACUCAAGCGUUUAGUAUGUUCGUUUUUAUAUAGUUGCAUGUUAUCGCCUGUACAGUUUUCCUGAGGAUUUUUGCACUACGAUGCCGCGACUCCAAGAAUUAAGUGGUUAGAACGUAGCAACUGUGUGCACUCGCAUGCGCAAGCACGUGUACACGCGAACACAGCUGUGCAAAUGCUGCCCCUGAUUUGGCCUAUCCGAGAUGGAUUGUCAAAACGUAAGGUACAUAAAUUACCUGCGUAUUGCAGCUGUAUUUUUAUCUUAAUGCAUAACAUUGUCCAUCGCAUGCUAUAAACGUAUUCGUUACCAACAUCUUAUA
ensembl:lncRNA